ACCCACAGACGUAACACAGGCAAAUAGAGGAGUAGAAUUAGCUUGCUUUGAUGAGACCGGCGCUCAGGUGAGUAACGGGUAUGCACCCUUCGUUAUGCAGGGGAAUAGCCCGAAGUGAUUAGGAUUAAUGCUCCAUGGUUUAUCGAUAUGGCAUCGUAUUGAUCAUAAAGAUAUAUCGGUAUAAGAUGGGCAUGCGUAUCAUUAGCUAGUUGGUGUGGUACCGGCAUGCCAAGGCAUAGAUGAUUAGGGGUCAUGAGAGGGAGAUCCCCCACACUGGUACUGAGCCGCGGCCCAUACUCGUUGGGGAGACAGCAGGGAGGAAUAUUGGUCAAAGGAGGCAUCUUAGAACCAGCCAUGCCGGGUGCAGGAUGACGGUCAUAUGGAUUAGUAAACUGCAUUUUUGGUACAGGAAGAAACCUCUCUGAGGAGUACACGACAUUUGACGGUACCCGUAAGAAUAAAGGAUCGGACUAACUCCCGUACCAGCAGCCGCGGUAAUACGGAGGAAUCCGAGCGUUAUCCGGAAUUAUUGGGUUUAAAGGGCUUCGUAGGCGGCUUUGUAAGUCAGUGGUGAAAUUUCCUAGCUUAACUAGGACACUUCCAUUGAUGUCUGCAGAGCUUGAAUAAUAUGGAAGUAACUAGAAUAUGUAGUGUAGCGGUGAAAUGCUUAGAUAUUACAUGGAAUGCCAAUUGAGAAGGCAGGUUACUACGUAUUUAUUGACGCUGAUGAACGAAAGCGUGGGGAGCGAACAGGAUUAGAUACCCUGGUAGUCCACGCCGUAAACGAUGGAUUCUAGCUGUUCGGAUUUCGGUGUGAGUGGCUAAGCGAAAGUGAUAAGUAUCCCCCCUGGGGAGUACGUUCGCAAGAAUGAAACUCAAAGGAAUUCACGGGGGCCCGCACAAGCGGUGGAGCAUGUGGUUUAAUUAGAUGAUACGCGAGGUACCUUCCCAGGGCUUAAAUGUAGAUUGACAGAUUGGGAAACAGAUUUUUCUUCGGCCAAUUUACAAGGUGCUGCAUGGUUGUCGUCAGCUCGUGCCGUGAGGUGUCAGGUUAAGUCCUAUAACGAGCGCCACCCCUAUUGUUAGUUUCCAGCGGGUAGUGGCGGGGACUCUAGCAAGGCUGCCGGUGCAAACCGUGAGGAAGGUGGGGAUGACGUCAAAUCAUCACGGCCCUUACGUCCUGGGCUACACACGUGCUACAAUGGCAAGUACAGAAAGCAGCUACCUGGCAACAGGAUGCGAAUCUCCAAAGCUUGUCUCAGUUCGGAUUGGAGUCUGCAACUCGACUCUAUGAAGCUGGAAUCGCUAGUAAUCGGAUAUCAGCCAUGAUCCGGUGAAUGCGUUCCCGGCCCUUGUACACUCCGCC
rnacentral:rRNA from 1 species